rnacentral:sRNA from 1 species
UCUGCGAAUUACCGCUCUUGCUAGGGCCU